UUCGGGUACAAUGAUCUGCUGGGUGAUAUUCAAAGCAUCGAUUCACUUCUUCUUGAUCUGUCAACACUAAGAGUUGCUACAAAUGACUUCGGCCAAGGAAAUAUGCUUCGCAAAGGAGGUUUUGGGAUGGUUCACAAGGGAGUCCUACCUGACGAUUCUGAGAAACGCAAAGACCUAGAUUGGGGAAGGAGGUUCAAGAUUAUCAGUGGAGUUGCUAAGGGGUUACAAUAUCUCCACGAAGAUUCUCCAGUGAAGAUAGUUCACCAGGACCUGAAACCAAGCAACGUUUUGUUGGACUUUGAUUACAACCCUAAGAUUUCUGAUUUUGGCUUAGCAAAGAUAUUUGGAGGGAAUCAAUCAAAAGAUGUCACAAGCCGUAUCGCCGGGACAUAG
rnacentral:rRNA from 1 species